GGAGCGGCUGCCGAACCGGUUGUCGGUCGCGCUGUCGACGCUGCGGGCGGUGCUCGACCCGACCCGCCGGUUCGAGCCGGACCGCUACG
rnacentral:tRNA from 1 species